ACACAUUAGCCUAGGCCCACACAGGGCCAGGAUCAUCACCAUAACAUCGGCUUCCAUGUCCUGUCCUUCUGGAAGGUCUUCAGGGGCAAUAAGAGUUGGCUUUCCCAAGAAGGCAGCCUCUGAGAUAGUGAUUAGUGCAUACAAAAACUUACUGGAAUGUGUCCCCUCAAGCAACACCUGUGGGAGAGGAGAAGGAAGAAACACGAAGUGGAGGAAAAGUUGGUCUGUGAUGAAAUUACAAUACGGCCUCAGCCGCCCCUGCUUACGAUGUUCCUUCAGACUUGCCUUAAUUUCCCUCAAGGGGGCAAGACCUUUUUGCUCCCAUAUCAGCCAAUCACUGGAUUCACGCUGCCCACAGUCAGAAGGCUUGACCUUGAAGCAGGUGUCUCUCUGCAACACGAUAACCUCCACACUUCUUGUUAAAUAAACAUUCCUAAUAGUAACAAUCUAACAGGUGCCUCCCUGCCUUCUCUAGGGACCAGGCCUUCUGAUGGACCCCUGUGAUGCUAGUAAGUGUACAGACAUAAGCAUUUAGUCAA
rnacentral:lncRNA from 1 species